UGGGGAAUAUUGCACAAUGGGCGAAAGCCUGAUGCAGCGACGCCGCGUGGGGGAUGACGGCCUUCGGGUUGUAAACCUCUUUCAGCAAGGAAGAAGCGAAAGUGACGGUACUUGCAGAAGAAGCGCCGGCUAACUACGUGCCAGCAGCCGCGGUAAUACGUAGGGCGCAAGCGUUGUCCGGAAUUAUUGGGCGUAAAGGGCUUGUAGGUGGCUUGUCGCGUCUGCCGUGAAAACUCGAGGCUUAACCUUGGGCGUGCGGUGGGUACGGGCAGGCUAGAGUGCGGUAGGGGAGACUGGAAUUCCUGGUGUAGCGGUGAAAUGCGCAGAUAUCAGGAGGAACACCGAUGGCGAAGGCAGGUCUCUGGGCCGUUACUGACACUGAGAAGCGAAAGCAAGGGGAGCGAACAGG
rnacentral:rRNA from 1 species